rnacentral:rRNA from 1 species
UUGGAUUGAGGGCGAAGCGAAGCGGCUGGUUACCAGGCAAAUCCGGUAACCAUAAGGCUAGAUCGUGACAGGUAAGCGAAAUCUUAGGAAAGUAGCGAAGCACAUGAUGACGGCUUCCAGGAAAAGCUUCUGGCAAUGCAUAUGCGGCCCGUACCAAAACCGACACAGGUGGGCAGGGAGAGAAUCCCGAGGUGAGCGAGAGAACUGUUGCCAAGGAACUCGGCAAAAUGACUCCGUAAGUUAGCGAGAUGGAGUGCUUAAGCAAUUAAGCCGCAGUGAAGAGGCCCAAGCGACUGUUUAACUAAAACACAGCUCUCUGCGAAGUCGCAAGACGAAGUAUAGGGGGUGACACCUGCCCGGUGCUGGAAGGUUAAGAGGAUCUGUUAAGAGCGAUCUGAAGCAGUGAUCCGAAGCCCCAGUGAACGGCGGCCGUAACUAUAACGGUCCUAAGGUAGCGAAAUUCCUUGUCAGGUAAGAUCUGACCCGCACGAAAGGUGUAACGAUUUGGGCGCUGUCUCGGCAGCAGACUCGGUGAAAUCUUAGUACCUGUGAAAAUGCAGGUUACCCGCAACUAGACGGAAAGACCCCAUGGAGCUUUACUGCAGCCUGAUAUUGAAUUCUGGUCAUACAUGUACAGGAUAGGUGGGAGACAAAGAGACGUGCACGCCAGUGUACGAGGAGUCGACGUUGGGAUACCACUCUUGUGUGACUGGGGUUCUAACCUGGUAUCGAGAACAGGUACGGGGAGAGUGUCAGGUGGGCAGUUUGACUGGGGCGGUCGCCUCCCAAAGAGUAACGGAGGCGCCCAAAGGUACGCUCAGGUUGGAUGGAAACCAAUCGUCGAGUGCAAUUGCAGAAGCGUGCUUGACUGUGAGACAGACAAGUCGAACAGGGACGAAAGUCGGGAAUAGUGAUCCGGCGGUCCGAAUGGAAGGGCCGUCGCUCAACGGAUAAAAGCUACCCUGGGGAUAACAGGCUGAUCUCGCCCAAGAGUUCACAUCGACGGCGAGGUUUGGCACCUCGAUGUCGGCUCAUCGCAUCCUGGAGCUGGAUUCGGUUCCAAGGGUUGGGCUGUCCGCCCAUUAAAGCGGUACGCGAGCUGGGUUCAGAACGUCGUGAGACAGUUCGGUCCCUAUCUGUUGUGGGCGAAGGAGAUCUGCGGAGAGCUGUCCUCAGUACGAGAGGACCGGGAUGGACCUACCGCUGGUGCACCGGUUGUUCCGCCAGGGGCAUAGCCGGGUAGCUAAGUAGGGAAAGGAUAAGCGCUGAAAGCAUCUAAGCACGAAGCCUACUCCAAGAUGAGAUCUCCCAUUCGCAAGAAGUAAGACCCCUUAAAGACGAUAAGGUAGAUAGGCCAGGGAUGGAAGUGCAGUGAUGUACGGAGUUGACUGGUACUAAUCGGUCGAGGACC